rnacentral:rRNA from 1 species
AUUGAACGCUGGCGGCAGGCCUAACACAUGCAAGUCGAGCGGAUGAAGGGAGCUUGCUCCUGGAUUCAGCGGCGGACGGGUGAGUAAUGCCUAGGAAUCUGCCUGGUAGUGGGGGAUAACGUCCGGAAACGGGCGCUAAUACCGCAUACGUCCUGAGGGUGAAAGUGGGGGAUCUUCGGACCUCACGCUAUCUGAUGAGCCUAGGUCGGAUUAGCUAGUUGGUGGGGUAAAGGCCUACCAAGGCGACGAUCCGUAACUGGUCUGAGUGGAUGAUCAGUCACACUGGAACUGAGACACGGUCCAGACUCCUACGGGAGGCAGCAGUGGGGAAUAUUGGACAAUGGGCGAAAGCCUGAUCCAGCCAUGCCGCGUGUGUGAAGAAGGUCUUCGGAUUGUAAAGCACUUUAAGUUGGGAGGAAGGGCAGUAAGUUAAUACCUUGCUGUUUUGACGUUACCAACAGAAUAAGCACCGGCUAACUUCGUG